rnacentral:rRNA from 1 species
UCGACGGCGGUGUUUGGCACCUCGAUGUCGGCUCAUCUCAUCCUGGGGCUGUAGCCGGUCCCAAGGGUAUGGCUGUUCGCCAUUUAAAGAGGUACGUGAGCUGGGUUUAAAACGUCGUGAGACAGUUUGGUCCCUAUCUUCCGUGGGCGUUGGAGGCUUGAGAGGGGCUGCUCCUAGUACGAGAGGACCGGAGUGGACGAACCUCUGGUGUACCGGUUGUCACGCCAGUGGCAUCGCCGGGUAGCUAAGUUCGGAAAAGAUAACCGCUGAAAGCAUAUAAGCGGGAAACUUGCCUCAAGAUAAGGCCUCCCUGGAGACUUGAUCUCCCUAAAGGGUCGUUGAAGACGACAACGUUGAUAGGCUGGGUGUGGAAGCGCAGUAAUGUGUUGAGCUAACCAGUACUAAUUGCCCGUGCGGCUUGAUCCU